rnacentral:rRNA from 1 species
GAUGAACGCUGGCGGCGUGCUUAACACAUGCAAGUCGAACGAAGCAUUUAAGACAGAUUACUUCGGUUUGAAGUCUUUUAUGACUGAGUGGCGGACGGGUGAGUAACGCGUGGGUAACCUGCCUCAUACAGGGGGAUAGCAGCUGGAAACGGCUGGUAAUACCGCAUAAGCGCACAGUACCACAUGGUACAGUGUGAAAAACUCCGGUGGUAUGAGAUGGACCCGCGUCUGAUUAGCUUGUUGGUGGGGUAACGGCCCACCAAGGCGACGAUCAGUAGCCGACCUGAGAGGGUGACCGGCCACAUUGGGACUGAGACACGGCCCAGACUCCUACGGGAGGCAGCAGUGGGGAAUAUUGCACAAUGGAGGAAACUCUGAUGCAGCGACGCCGCGUGAGUGAAGAAGUAGUUCGCUAUGUAAAGCUCUAUCAGCAGGGAAGAUAGUGACGGUACCUGACUAAGAAGCUCCGGCUAAAUACGUG